rnacentral:rRNA from 1 species
AGAGUUUGAUCCUGGCUCAGGACGAACGCUGGCGGCGCGCCUAACACAUGCAAGUCGAACGAGAGAGAGGGAGCUUGCUUCCUCAAUCGAGUGGCGAACGGGUGAGUAACGCGUGAGGAACCUGCCUCAAAGAGGGGGACAACAGUUGGAAACGACUGCUAAUACCGCAUAAGCCCACAGGUCGGCAUCGACCAGAGGGAAAAGGAGCAAUCCGCUUUGAGAUGGCCUCGCGUCCGAUUAGCUAGUUGGUGAGGUAACGGCCCACCAAGGCGACGAUCGGUAGCCGGACUGAGAGGUUGGACGGCCACAUUGGGACUGAGACACGGCCCAGACUCCUACGGGAGGCAGCAGUGGGGAAUAUUGCACAAUGGGGGAAACCCUGAUGCAGCGACGCCGCGUGGAGGAAGAAGGUCUUCGGAUUGUAAACUCCUGUUGUUGAGGAAGAUAAUGACGGUACUCAACAAGGAAGUGACGGCUAACUACGUGCCAGCAGCCGCGGUAAAACGUAGGUCACAAGCGUUGUCCGGAAUUACUGGGUGUAAAGGGAGCGCAGGCGGGAAGACAAGUUGGAAGUGAAAUCUAUGGGCUCAACCCAUAAACUGCUUUCAAAACUGUUUUUCUUGAGUAGUGCAGAGGUAGGCGGAAUUCCCGGUGUAGCGGUGGAAUGCGUAGAUAUCGGGAGGAACACCAGUGGCGAAGGCGGCCUACUGGGCACCAACUGACGCUGAGGCUCGAAAGUGUGGGUAGCAAACAGGAUUAGAUACCCUGGUAGUCCACACCGUAAACGAUGAUUACUAGGUGUUGGAGGAUUGACCCCUUCAGUGCCGCAGUUAACACAAUAAGUAAUCCACCUGGGGAGUACGACCGCAAGGUUGAAACUCAAAGGAAUUGACGGGGGCCCGCACAAGCAGUGGAGUAUGUGGUUUAAUUCGACGCAACGCGAAGAACCUUACCAGGUCUUGACAUCCCGAUGACCGGUCCGUAACGGGGCCUUCUCUUCGGAGCAUUGGAGACAGGUGGUGCAUGGUUGUCGUCAGCUCGUGUCGUGAGAUGUUGGGUUAAGUCCCGCAACGAGCGCAACCCUUAUCCUCAGUAGCCAGCAGGUCAAGCUGGGCACUCUGUGGAGACUGCCAGGGAUAACCUGGAGGAAGGUGGGGAUGACGUCAAAUCAUCAUGCCCCUUAUGAUCUGGGCUACACACGUGCUACAAUGGCGUAAACAAAGGGAGGCAAAGCCGCGAGGUGGAGCAAAUCCCAAAAAUAACGUCUCAGUACGGACUGCAGUCUGCAACUCGACUGCACGAAGCUGGAAUCGCUAGUAAUCGCGAAUCAGAAUGUCGCGGUGAAUACGUUCCCGGGUCUUGUACACACCGCCCGUCACACCAUGGGAGUUGGUAACGCCCGAAGUCAGUGACCCAACCUUUCAGGAGGGAGCUGCCGAAGGCGGGACUGAUAACUGGGGUGAAGUCGUAACAAGGUA